rnacentral:rRNA from 1 species
ACGGUAGAGUAGCUAUACUCGGAGAGUGGCGAAGGGUGAGUAAUAUAUCGGAACGUGCCCAGUCGUGGGGGAUAACGUACAGAAAUUUACGCUAAUACCGCACACGAUCUAAGGAUGAAAGCGGGGGAUUCGCAAGAACCUCGCGCGAUUGGAGCGGCUGAUAUCAGAUUAUGUUGUUGGUGAGGUAAAAGCUCACCAAGCCGACAAUCUGUAGCUGGUUUGAGAGAACGACCAGCCACACUGGGACUGAGACACGGCCCAGACUCCUACGGGAGGCAGCAGUGGGGAAUUUUGGACAAUGGGCGAAAGCCUGAUCCAGCAAUGCCGCGUGCAGGAAAAAGGCCUUCGGGUUGUAAACUGCUUUUGUACGGAACGAAAAGGCUCUUUCUAAUAAAGAGGGCCCAUGACGGUACCGUAAGAAUAAGCACCGGCUAACUACGUGCCAGCAGCCGCGGUAAUACGUAGGGUGCGAGCGUUAAUCGGAAUUACUGGGCGUAAAGCGUGCGCAGGCGGUUCUAUA